CCUACGGGUGUCAGCAGUGGGGAAUAUUGCACAAUGGGGGAAACCCUGAUGCAGCAACGCCGCGUGAAGGAAGACGGUUUUCGGAUUGUAAACUUCUGUUCUUAGUGAAGAAUAAUGACGGUAGCUAAGGAGCAAGCCACGGCUAACUACGUGCCAGCAGCCGAGGUACUACGUAGGGGGCAAGCGUUGUCCGGAAUGACUGGGUGUAUAGGGCGCGCAGGCGGGAAGCCAAGUCAGCUGUGAAUACUACUGGCUUAUCUUGUAGACUGCAGUUUAAACUGGUUUUCUUGAGUGUAGUAGAGGUUGGCGGAAUUCCGAGUGUAGCGGUGAAAUGCGGAGAUAUUCGGAGGAACACCGGUAGCGAAGGCGGCCAACUAGGCUUUAACUGACGCUGAGGCUCGAAAGUGUGGGGAGCAAACAGGAUUAGAUACCCUAGUAGUC
rnacentral:rRNA from 1 species